rnacentral:tRNA from 1 species
GGUCCCAUGGUCAAGCGGCUAAGACAUCGCCCUUUCACGGCGGUAACAGGGGUUCGAUUCCCCUUGGGACUACCA